UUUAGUGCAAUGCAGUUUCCAUUUACUGCAAUGCAGAAAUGGAAACUGCAACGCAGUUUCUGUUUUAUCCUAUGCAGUUUCCAACCUAAUUUCUGAUAUAUCUUGUUUUUGAACUGUGCAGUUUCUACUGUGUGAGAGGACAAACAUCAUACAACCAAUCCUUGGCAAGGAGAAAGAAACUCCUGCCAUUCUUAAAUGGAGUCUUGUGGAACUCCACACAAGAUUCAACCAAAUAAAGGACUUGAAUGACAUCGAGGGUAUUUUCAAAACUCCUAAAAAGCGAAAAACUACCAGGGAAGAGGAAGACACUGUUGAGAAGGGUAUUUUGAAAACAUAUAAAAAGAGAAAAACUACCGGAGAAGAGGGAGACCCUCUUGACAAGGUAUAAGAAUCUCUAAACAGUGAAUUAUGCAUUUCGGUUUUCGUUUCCUCCAAUGCAAUGCAGUUUCUAAUUAGUUUCUGUUCAAUAUGCAGGAAAAAGAAAAAGAAGAUGAUGAGGGACAACAAGGAGAAGCAGAGGAAGCAGAAAACCAAGGAAAACCUGAUGAUGCUGAUCAAACUCCAGAAUUAAAAGAGGCUGGAAAGAAGAAAAUGUUUGAGAAUGAAGCUGGAAAAGAACCUCUUGCAA